GGACCUAGUUUGGUGUAUCACCCAGGGCCCAGGCACCGUUGGAUGGAAGCUGUGUGCAGUCUGCCACCAGACACAGUCAGGCCUCUCAGCAUCUGCCUACAUGCUUACAGCUCUCUUUCCUCCAACUCUGCCUGCAGCACUUAUUGCUAAUGAAACAGUGAGAAAAUACCCUGGAGCCAUUCAGUUGGCAAGAAAGUACCUAGGAGCCCUUGUCAUGUCAUUGUGCUAGGCGCAGUACAAACACAGAAGAAAGAACAUCCCUGCCCAAGCUUCCAGCCUUUCCUGUUUGGCGACUGUAAUGCACAGCAUCUAUGUUACGGAAACCCGGCUUCAGACAGAGUUGUAUCAGUUCCAAAGACUCAACAGAGAUGCACUGAAUUUAAAGAUUCUCAGGGCCUGUCAUCUGAGUUUUAUGGAUGUGUCUGGCUAACUUAAAUGAAGUCAAUUGGGCUGAGGCCUCCGCUUUUCAGUGAAUUGUCUGACAAGGCAGGGGCAGAUGGAGCUUAUGGAACCAGCUGCUCCUGGGCACAUUUUUUUUUCCCUGUGGUUGUGCUUUGUUGGCUCUCAGAUUUUCACAGAGCUCAUUCUAUCCACUUUCCAAGGAAGAGAAUAAAAGUCAUUCACCGAAACUGAACCCAGGCAUGUGGUGAUGAGAGUAAAAGCUGCCUGCAAAAGUAGGACUGGUUGGGGGAGAGAGGGAGGAAGGGAACAAGAAAUUUUUGAAGUAGAUUCUAUUUGUACAAUUGCCAGUCCCUCUUUCCCAUGUCACGUAUUUGUUUCCAUUCAUUAGGUUCUCAGAGAGGAAGGGGUAGUAAUUCUGUAAGACAUAUGAAACAAGGAACAAAAUAGUAAUGUACUUCUAAUGUGAGGCACUUUUGUUCCUUUCCUCGUGCCACUCAGAAGCACUGUCCCCCUCUCUGUACAAUCUACCUUUCACUGUAAAUAGCCCCAUGCACUAUUCUGUAUUGUUCAAAUCUCACCAUUUCUAUCAAGCGACAGAGCAAACUUUAGGAUGCCAACACCUACAAGUGUUUUCAUAUUAAUUUAAAACUAGUAUUUUUAUGAUGAGAGGGAAAGUGAUCCAGGCAGAAGAUUCACCCAGCAUAAUAAUGAUAUGGCAAAAAUGUGGGACUUGAUCAUCAAAGGUGUCGAGUGCUCUGACCCCAAUACAGCAAAACACUUAGCCAUGUGCUUCAAGUGAUGUGGUGGAUCAGGUCCCACUGCUCUGUACCUUGCAGGAUUAAGCCCUUAUCCAUUUGAAAAAGGUAAAUUAUAUUAGAGACACAAAAAAGUCUUCUAGCAGAAGGGAUUAAAACUGUUAUAGAAGACACUUCCAUCUCAUUAGCACACUGGUUUAAUUGCCAAGUGCUUAAGGCAAUUUGCAGACUAAUGGGUUCCUUCAAAUUUGAUAGAAAAUUAACAGCUGCUGUACAGGAGUAGCAAUUGCUUGAAAUAAGGUGAAAAAGCUUUCAAGUAGAAUCUCUUCUGUGCAACAAAUACAUUAAAACAUAUCAGCUAUAGCCCAAGAGAACUAUCUCCCAACUUUAAGGGACAACUGGAUCACCGUCAUAUAGAACAGAAAUUUUUUACCGAAAUAAAAGUAUGUAUGAUUUAAAGUGACUUAAGUGCAUCUACAUUAGGGGUUUGCACCUAUUAGUUUUCUAAUAUAGAUCAGCUUUUAAUGUGUUGAAGGACAGGAUUAAACAAAGAACCUUUUGGAAACUAAGAGAAGUAGUUAUAACAGACCAAAGUUGAGCUGGCUAGUUCCUGGAAUUUUGUUGGUUCCAUGCCGGCUGCAGUUUAAGAGCAGAUAAUUCUAAACUCCUUGAAUGUUUAGAACUGUGGCAGUGAAUGCACAAGGUUGGAGAUUAUCCCAUUUAUAGAAAACUGUCUCUAUAGCACAAAGGCAUGAUCCUAAGAUAGAGUAUGUUCCUGUCAAAAUUGGUCACCAGUAUCCAUCCUUUCUUGGCAGUGUAACAAUCCAUAAACUCCUUAAUUUUAUGUUUUCAUUACUCACCAUGUGUGAGCUCUGGGCAAUUUUUCAGGACUUCCCCAUUGCUCUAUUGUAAACAGCUGAGGACCAUUUGAACCUGGACAAAGAGUAAAAAAUCCCCACAAGUAUAGUUUAAGCACUGGAUUUUAGAUAGACUACAUAAAUGCUAUAACUCAAAAUUAAAUGUUUGAAAAUUAUAGGCUAAAUCCUCGGCUUGUAUAAUUGGUAGACUGCACUGACGUGAAAGUACACGUUAAAGAAGCUAAGUAUCUGGCCCUAUAUUUAUAAAUACUGUCUACUCAUUAUUCCAUACAGUUAAUUUUAGGUGCAGUGUAUAUAAUGCCACAAAAUAAGUACACAUUAACACUGCAACAGCGAUGUACUUGUGGGCUUCCAAUCAGCACAGCAGCGGCCAUAUGUACGCACCCUUUACCCUAUCAAGGUUAUUCUUGCAGAGAGCAAGAACGUGCCCUCCACAGCUGCUGUCAUAAAGCCUCCAUAGGUUUUUUUGGGUUGGGAAGGAGCAAUUCAAUGGACACUGGAGUGAAAACUUCCAUCUUGUAAUAACCCUGUCGUGCAUAAGUUGUCUUGCUGGCCCAUUAUCCUACUCAGAAUUGGUCCAACCCAUUUCAAAGAGCAAAAAUA